rnacentral:lncRNA from 1 species
UGCAAUGUUUGAUUUGGCAGCUGAGAAGCAAAGCUUUAACUGAGGGUAGGAUUUUCAUCUUUUCAAGCCAAAUACGGUCAGUUUUUAACUCUUGACAAAGUCCAUCCAUAUAUAGGUCUCUGUUUAUAGUGUGACUUGGAUUUAUCACUCACACGACUCAGUCCUCCAUGUGGCAGCAUGGAGUUUUCCUGCCUUUGAUCCUUUCUUGUGGUUUGACACUUACCCUGCUCCCUCUGGGGUCCAGGCUAGUGAAAAACUAAGCUGAUAAGAGGGGAUCUUUGUUAAAAUGGAGAAAACAGACAGGGAAUCUGUGCAGUUAGGAUCCUGGAAGGAAAUGGGUGGGAUCGUUCAGGAGAGUGUCGUGAGAGACCGUUUCCAAGGGUGUGAGAUGGGUAAGGGGAACCACCAACAAUGGUGGAGGUCAUUACCAAACACAGGCCAGAAGGGCAGGGAGAACGCUGGUGACCAGCACCCGGAAGCCGCUGACAGUGUGGGCUUUGGAAGACGAACACAGCAAUUGAUGAUAUUAGCAAUGAAAGCAACUGGUCAUGCCGAUGAAAUGUGUACAAGUGAAACCUGAACCACAUUGGAUACGUAGCUGCUCAUGGAGACAUCCCAUAAAAAGUCUAAUUGGUGGAAUCCGCAAAUUGACAAGAGACCUUGCAAAUAUUAGUGGAAAAUAUCUGGACUACUAAUUCAGCCUGCAAAAGGGAGAAUAUAUUUGAAUGAAAAUAGCACUCACUGGAGACAUCCAUCCUCCAUAAUAUCCACACAUAGUCUCAACAAGGGUAAGAAAACCUUUGCCCCAGCCUUCUGGGACGUUGCUUAAGAAUUAUGAAAUCUGUGACAGAGACCACUGUCACCAUAGAUAAGCAGAGCUAUUUAGGUAUCAAACCAUUAGUAAUUAGUAAGAUUAACAUUAAACUGUAACAUGACAUAUUAUUUGUAUUGAAAUAAGACGGUAUCUAAUGAUUUUAAUAUAGAACAUCUGGCUUACUUCAUUUAACUCUUUAACACAUUUAAGGUGAACUUGCUUAAUCAUGAAGGAACUGUCACUUCACUUGUGAAGAAUGAAGAGUCCCUGUGAUCUGAAUUGGAGAUCAGAUUUCCACCGUUAAUUAUGAAAAUUUGAAACUAUCUAACCCAUACAUUCUAGAGAAUUGGGACAGUUACAGAUAUGAAUUUGGACUUUCUGCCAUAGACAUUGUAGCUUCAGUGCUAUUUUUGGAAUUAUUCACAAAUCAUUUAUUAAUCAUCAAUAUACUUUUCUGAGAAAAUUAAGUGGAUUAAUAUAUUCACUGGUUAUUGAGUUAGAGUUGAGCACUUCUCAUUUCCACUUUGGCGUCCUGUCAUCUUUAUUAUUUCUUCCUGGCUAUCAUUGACUAUUAAUGAAGGAGGAGUUUAUAAAGAAAAUAAACCAAAAUCUAAAGAAAUCUGCUAUUGGGGG